ACAGACAUGCCAUCUAUGCUAGCCACCUUCUGGUCGACGGCUGGUUGUUCGCUGGUACUGCUAAGCGUGAUUUAUAUUGUCAUCUCAUAUUUGCCUAAGAUGUCCGUUAGAAAAAUAACGGAAGCUCGAAUACUACUAUCGCGAGGGCACAUCACGUAGCCGUGUCAUUAGUCUAGGUGGCAUCACUUAGAGUUGACCUGCUGCUGUCUGCUCAUCGUUUUGCCGAUGUAUCACGAGAAUAUCUUCUAUCAGGGCCGCUGGCAUUCCGAAGUAGAUAUCUGCAUUUUGAACGCCAGUGGCGCUAGAGGCAGCAUGUAGAAAAACAAGAGCGACCGUUAACUACGAAACCGCGUUGUACGGCGCUGCUGACGCCUCCAGACGGCGCGUUUCCGACAACGGUUUCAGAUGUUAACUACACUUCCUAUUUGCUGCGGCAGCCAUAUUCAGAGAUUUCAGUUUUGUUUCAUCUAGUACAAGAGAGCACCUGCUCUGCUAAGCAACUGUUCAGUCGAUAUGGCCCAGACUGAAUGUACGUACACACAAGAAAACAAAACAAGAAGGACAUGAAAACCGGGAACUCCGACAUGAGGUUGGGAUAACCAUUCCAUAGACAUCUAACAUAGAUUUAAGGUGGUAAUACCAAAGGCCCCGUAUAGACCCCACUACAAGCUGAAGAAGACACCAGACGAAAAAAGAAGUCCAGAGUAUUUAUAGCAAUUUCUCUAGGUUUUCCAAGACCACAUUUUCCAGUCGGCUCUCUACUCCUUCCGCCAGCCUGGUCGACCCCCUGUUCAAUGUCCAUGAUUAGAAACGACGAUGCGUAUGGUUUAUCCUCAGCAUGUGCAGGCCAUACCUUGCCUGCUCAUCGAGGCAGACAGCUAUUGGCUAGCGCGAACACCUCUAGGGCGUUAUUGCAGGCACAGCUAUCAACAAGAUGUUUUCCUGUAUGACUGAUGACAACAUUCGCCUACUGGUGACCUAUCCCGCUCGAGGCUUACUCACUCAGCCACAGCUUCUCCGGCAGCCUCCUUCUCCUAAUGAAUUCGAAGACGCAGAGGCGGGCAGAAAUGUGCCGGUAAAGACCCAGCUUCGUUCGCUUUUCCAUCUCUCUCUCUCUCUCUCUCUCUCUCUCUAAUUCUGCCGCUUACUCUCGUGAGUUUUCUUCCUAAACUGCGGCCUGUUAUGGGAGAGAGAUUAAAGUUGUGAACAGGCGGUGAACUACAGCCAUAUAUUCGUAUACGACUGUGAUCGCCGUUCUUCAUCGAUCACCAUGCGAGCGUACCACUCUGUUGUUUGUCAAAGGCGAAAGACAGCCCAUCAGAGGAAACGGCCCAGCAACAGCAGCAGCGGGAACGUCACCAGAAACGAUUAAAACGUAUGCCGCCGACUGUCGCUGUCCGCGUUACGUCAUUCCGAAGAAACAGGAUCGAGCUAGAAUAACGCCUAUAGCCAGCGUAUAUAUUGUAUCAGCAAUAUCAUCCGGGUGAUCAUCACCAACAAUCGUUCAUUGCAUAGAGACUCAUCGGUGAGAGUAAACCAAGUACCUAAUUAUGGCUAUGUAAGUUACUGUCCUGAAAUCGUCGACAAAUUCCGUCGCACCAAAGUUAGAACUUCGCUCAACAUUAACGAAGAGCUAAAAUUAAACCACUUGUUACGGCGCUAAAGACGAUACCAGACAGAAUACAAUCGUGGGACGAUUACGAUGUUUGCUCGACGUGUCAUGCUGCCGACAUCCCGUGUUUUUCAAAGCAGAAUCCCUGCCUGCAAGGCGGCAGAGGCCUGUGUCAGGAAAGCAAGCUGUCACCGGCUAGACUCAUAUUUCAGCGACUUCUAUUUCCAGGGUGACUGCCGCUAUUGAUGCCGCGGGUCAUGGGAUCGCACCGCUGACACCAGUCGCCAGGCUCAAGACACCUUUUGAACCGCAACUUGUCCAGAAUAAAAAGUAUCAUGAUGUGAUAGCGCACUAGAGGUUGCUGCUGGUCACCACAUGCGUACUUGUAGGCGAUAGGACUGUUCUACCGAUAUUGCGGGGUACCUUUGUUCGAUGCUAUGACUACGCAUCAAGGGGUGCACGUAAAGCUUCCCUUAAGCCUUAGGCGCGACGCUCGCAGAUGUUCUUUUAGAGCAAAGAGAUCGCCAGCCAUAUGUACGAUAGAAAGACCUUGGAAAGGGAAAUUGGACAAUUACUUUUAAUUGGCGCUUUUUUUGAGCGAUAUCGUGCAGUGUUAUCAAGGGGCUACUAUCAGAACGACUCGACUCGAUAUGUUGAUCAUAAACGUAAAGUGACAGGAUGCUAUUUUGUUGGGUUCCGUCAAAACAACGGAAUCAGUCUUGUACUAAGCGGGAAGGGAGAGUUGUGUGUCUAGAGGGAAGGCACCUUUCAAGGACCAUCAUUCGGUCUGGCCAAUGUAGCUACAAAUAAACAUGUCUAUCUAUAUAGAACACAGUCCAGUCAGUGUAAAGGGGCAGAGGAGACGACCAUUUCCGUGAAUGCCGAGUAGAGGGAACGAUUGGCUGAGAACGUAUGCUUGUUUUCGACGAAAAAGGACACGAAAAGAACAGACGUGCGCGUCGUAGAGGGAACGUUUCAACUAGAUUUCAAUUACUGGAUCAAUGGAUCACAUUCACUGCGUAGAAGGAUAGCUAACGAGCUAGAUUCGCAGAUAAGGCGAACGGCGUACAAGAUCCACGAACAGAGCGUGCACAUUUUUUAUACGACGUAACACAACAAUCGUCCAGCUGCUAAGCGUGCAUGAGUGUCAUCUUUUAUUCAUUCUAUUUGCAGCUGAUCUAGAAAUGGAUCUCACUUGACCCUUUUGUGGAUCUGUGUGUUCCGUGACAUCGGCAGACCAUUGUAGGCAUAGCGGUGCAUUAGCGAGACAGUAUGUGGGCAUCGUUGAAGAUGAGUUGGCUAUUCCCCUCUAAACUAAACCUCUUUGAAUGAGAAAGACUAGUCAUUGUAUUUCACUAGAUACUGCUAUACAGUCGAGAACCAAGUACCUUAGCUAUAGAAGCAACAGCAAGUGCGACAACGAAAUUUAAGAUUUGCUUUUUUUUUUGCUUGCUAUUUAUGAUUCUUAUACGUUUGCCUUCGCUAGUGUUUACGUUUCUAAGGCUAAUUGCUGAUGGCAACCCUUCUCAGUAUGCGGGCUUCGACGUACAAAGCUGCUUGUGUCGGCUGGCUCGAGCAUGCCUAUUUUCCCGGCGAAGUCAUAGACCUCAGCUAUAAACCCCCCCACCUGAAGACAACGCAUCGGCAGUAGCUGCACCGAGUCACGUCAUAGGUCGUAAACCGACACGGCAAUCUCACUAUCACCCUUGCGUUUGGCAGUACGACGCGCCUAUGUAACUGCCUCCGUCGUUUGGCAUAUUAAUAUGAUGGCAGAACGAAGCGUAUUUGAUGAAGUCAAGGGCAGUGUAUCGCAGCGAUCCCGGAGUCAAUGCAGCUUUGCACAUGCAUGCAUAUCUGUCUAUGUAACUAUAAUACGGUCUGCUCAGUUCUGUCCGGGAUGCGAUUGCUGCUAUAGGAACACCAACAUCAACUAAAUUGUCAACGACGCUCCUCGUCUCAUCCUUCUACGUCAUCUAUAAUAUAACCAUAAUACAGCUUACUCUGGUUGUUUUUAUUGUUUCGCAUACGCUAUUCAGACGGUGGAUAAGUUUCUUCCAGUUUCUAGUGAGUGUGCGAAUCUUUAUGCUUUUGUAAUAUGUAGUAGUCUUCACAAGCACGAGUAGGUAUGCA